GAGUUUGUCUUGGACCAAGUCACGAGCUUUUUCGUGCUAAUUUCUGACUCGGGAGUGCUGAUCAGGGCAUACGCCUGGAUCCUCCCACCUUUCUGUUCAUCCGGUGUUGACCGACAGCUGUCAAAUUUCAAACGCGCACCGAUGGACUUGCACGCAAUAUUUUGGUUGCUUUCUUCCGGUCAGCUGUUUGGGAACCGGAGACCGUUCUAACAAGGUCUUGGAGCCCCAGGAUUGUUUGAAGAGAGAUCCACCGCUAUUAUGCAUGUACAAAUACAUCUACCGACACAAAAAUACUCCACCUUUCCGUAUGGACGUGAAAAAGCCAAAAUGUGGAAAUAUUUUGGCAGACCACCUGGAGGGCUUCGUGUAUUGGACGUUAUCGAUCUUUUAAUAAGUAGGUAAGAUACACGAAUUUCAUGUUGCUGACCUCCAAGCCUUCCCCUUCUCUCCUUAACCUAUUUUUUUCGCUAGGAGUUAGUGACCGUUGGAUGACUAAGUUUUCAUUAUUUUUACUUUCUCUCUUCAUAACGGCACAGACACACACAAAAGUGGUGCCAACAUAGUCACUUGUUCAAUUGGCUGGACAACACCCACAUCAUGUUAAGUAACAUAAUAAUAGAAUUUAAUUCUUUUUUUUUUUUUUUACAGAUAUCUUUUUUUAAAAAGAUAUGACAUCCCGCCUGACUUGUCUUUAUGACAUUUCUCUUUUGCGUUUAUCGGCCACUCGACGUGAGCGUGGCCGAUAUAGUCAACCAACGGUUUGAAAGUGAACGCCAGUAGGGCACCGUUUCACGUUAUCAAAGAAACGUUCCUUUUUUUUUUUUAUUCUUCUUCUAAUUUUGAUAUGAAUAUCAGCAAAGGAGUGAAAAACACUAAAAGACGAGGAAAGAUUAAAAAAAAAAGAUGGAGGUUCGUAUAAUCCCGUAAAAUGAAGUUCUAGAAAGUGAAAGCCAUUAGCGUGUGUUGUCUCUGUUUGGCCCGGCUUUGCACUCCCAUUCUACUUGCUGGACUGGAAUUGCAACAGCGUUUCGGCAACACGAAGGUCGUCCACCAUUUUUAACCGCAAAAAGUCUAUUUCAAAUACUUAACGCUUCAAAUAUUUGAGAAACUGAUGUAAUCCGGAAGAUCACAAUAUGUCUUCACUUGCGAUGGCCCUCCUUGCCUCCAUAUCGGCGUACCAAAAGGAUCGUGUCCCCACCGUAAUCUCGCCUAUACCAUUAGACGCACAUCGUUUGAAUUGAUUUGUUUUCAAAGGCACAAGAAACUACGUCGACAUAUUUUCGAUAAGCAA